rnacentral:rRNA from 1 species
AGGACGAACGCUGGCGGCGUGCUUAACACAUGCAAGUCGAACGGUAAGGCCCCUUCGGGGGUACACGAGUGGCGAACGGGUGAGUAACACGUGAGCAACCUGCCCUUGACUCUGGAAUAACAGCUGGAAACAGCUGCUAAUACCGGAUAUGACCGCAUGCGACAUCGCAUACGGUGGAAAGCCCUGGCGGUCAAGGAUGGGCUCGCGGCCUAUCAGCUAGUUGGUGAGGUAACGGCUCACCAAGGCUUCGACGGGUAGCCGG